rnacentral:rRNA from 1 species
GGUGAGUAAUGUCUGGGAAACUGCCUGAUGGAGGGGGAUAACUACUGGAAACGGUAGCUAAUACCGCAUAACGUCGCAAGACCAAAGAGGGGGACCUUCGGGCCUCUUGCCAUCAGAUGUGCCCAGAUGGGAUUAGCUAGUAGGUGGGGUAACGGCUCACCUAGGCGACGAUCCCUAGCUGGUCUGAGAGGAUGACCAGCCACACUGGAACUGAGACACGGUCCAGACUCCUACGGGAGGCAGCAGUGGGGAAUAUUGCACAAUGGGCGCAAGCCUGAUGCAGCCAUGCCGCGUGUAUGAAGAAGGCCUUCGGGUUGUAAAGUACUUUCAGCGGGGAGGAAGGUGUUGUGGUUAAUAACCACAGCAAUUGACGUUACCCGCAGAAGAAGCACCGGCUAACUCCGUGCCAGCAGCCGCGGUAAUACGGAGGGUGCAAGCGUUAAUCGGAAUUACUGGGCGUAAAGCGCACGCAGGCGGUCUGUCAAGUCGGAUGUGAAAUCCCCGGGCUCAACCUGGGAACUGCAUUCGAAACUGGCAGGCUGGAGUCUUGUAGAGGGGGGUAGAAUUCCAGGUGUAGCGGUGAAAUGCGUAGAGAUCUGGAGGAAUACCGGUGGCGAAGGCGGCCCCCUGGACAAAGACUGACGCUCAGGUGCGAAAGCGUGGGGAGCAAACAGGAUUAGAUACCCUGGUAGUCCACGCCGUAAACGAUGUCGAUUUGGAGGUUGUGCCCUUGAGGCGUGGCUUCCGGAGCUAACGCGUUAAAUCGACCGCCUGGGGAGUACGGCCGCAAGGUUAAAACUCAAAUGAAUUGACGGGGGCCCGCACAAGCGGUGGAGCAUGUGGUUUAAUUCGAUGCAACGCGAAGAACCUUACCUGGUCUUGACAUCCACAGAACUUUCCAGAGAUGGAUUGGUGCCUUCGGGAACUGUGAGACAGGUGCUGCAUGGCUGUCGUCAGCUCGUGUUGUGAAAUGUUGGGUUAAGUCCCGCAACGAGCGCAACCCUUAUCCUUUGUUGCCAGCGGUUAGGCCGGGAACUCAAAGGAGACUGC